rnacentral:rRNA from 1 species
AUUGAACGCUGGCGGCAUGCCUUACACAUGCAAGUCGAACGGCAGCGCGGACUUCGGUCUGGCGGCGAGUGGCGAACGGGUGAGUAAUACAUCGGAACGUACCCUGUUGUGGGGGAUAACUAGUCGAAAGAUUAGCUAAUACCGCAUACGACCUGAGGGUGAAAGUGGGGGACCGCAAGGCCUCACGCAGCAGGAGCGGCCGAUGUCUGAUUAGCUAGUUGGUGGGGUAAAGGCCCACCAAGGAGACGAUCAGUAGCUGGUCUGAGAGGACGAUCAGCCGCACUGGGACUGAGACACGCCCCAGACUCCUACGGGAGGCAGCAGUGGGGAAUUUUGGACAAUGGGGGCAACCCUGAUCCAGCAAUGCCGCGUGUGUGAAGAAGGCCUUCGGGUUGUAAAGCACUUUUGUCCGGAAAGAAAUCGCGCUGGUUAAUACCUGGCGUGGAUGACGGUACCGGAAGAAUAAGCACCGGCUAACUACGUGCCAGCCGCCGCAGUAA